rnacentral:lncRNA from 1 species
CACUCAAAACCAGAACUACAUUCUGAGGGAGAAGUUAAGCUUUUUCAGGCAGGUUUGUGAGUGACAGCUGUUCAUUAACAGCAUGAUGUCCUCCUCCCUCUCACGAAGAAGUGGUGGCUACAACAUUUCAGAGAUCCCUUGUUUUCAUAAAGGGAGCUGAGGGUAAUUAUCAGUGAAGAGCAAGAGGAAAAGUUAAUUAAACUAGAUCUGGAGAAGCAAAAAUCUGUAUUUACACAAUUUUGCCCAUAUAGAAUUGUUUUCCAAUGACAGAAGGAGAUUGUUUGUAUUAACAGAAAUGCAAACAUGAUUCCAGACAUUCAGCUUUGAGGUCAAGUCUAUUCAAAAUUCAAGAGAAAGGAGUUAUACAUAUCUGAAGAUUAUGUUGUCAAUUACACCAAAGCCUAUUUGUCCACUUUUACCUUUCAUAUCUUGAGAUGAAAUGUAUGGUAAUAUUGCAGUUUUAAAUAAAUGUAUUUUGAUGUGAAUAUGCUAGAUCA